rnacentral:rRNA from 1 species
UCGAGGAUCUUUUCCAAUGGACGAAAGUCUGAGAAUGCGACGCCGCGUGAGGGAUGAAGGCCUUCGGGUUGUAAACCUCUUUUGUUGGGGAGGAAUGUUGCAAGGUGAAUAAUCUUGCAAUUUGACUGUACCCGGCGAAUAAGCCACGGCUAACUCCGUGCCAGCAGCCGCGGUAAUACGGAGGUGGCGAGCGUUACUCGGUUUGACUGGGUGUAAAGGGUCCGCAGGCGGUCUAACAAGUAGAAAGUGAAAUCCUUCGGCUUAACCGGAGAACUGCUCUCUAAACUGUUAGACUAGAGGAUGGGAGAGGAGAUCGGAACUGUCAGUGUAAGGGUGAAAUCUGUGGAUAUUGACAGGAACGUCAGUGGGGAAGCCGGAUCUCUGGUCCAUUCCUGACGCUCAGGGACGAAAGCUAGGGGAGCAAACA